rnacentral:rRNA from 2 species
GGGAGGUAGUGACAAUAAAUCACAAUGCGGAACUUUUAGUUUUGCAAUUGGAUUGAGAACAAUGUACAAAUGUUAUCGAUAAACAAUUGGAGGGCAAGUCUGGUGCCAGCAGCCGCGGUAAUUCCAGCUCCAAUAGCGUAUAUUAACGUUGUUGCAGUUAAAAAGCUCGUAGUUGAAAUGUGGGAUGAAGUAUAUAAUGAAUUUCUAAUUCAAUUGUAUAUUGAUUCCCCUCUCCAAUUUAUUAUUAUGGGUAUUAAUUUAUUUGUAAUAAGAAUUGGUCAUUUACUGUGAGAAAAUUAGAGUGUUCAAAGCAGGCAUUUGCUUGAAUAGAUUAGCAUGGAAUAAUACUAAAAGGCUUUUAUGGUCGAUUUAAUUGGUUUGUUCAUAAAAGCAAGAUUAAAAGGAACAGUUGGGGGUAUUC